AUGAUGAUCCGCGUCCUGGAUCAUCAAAACGGCCUCGUCCUCUACACAUGUGGGGAUGCGAUGCAUGCGUGCAACCCCGCGACACGGCGGUGGGCGACGGUGCCUCCGCCGCCCGUACCCUUUUUCUACAACCACAUGCACCUCAUGUUCGACCCAACGGUGUCUUUGCACUACGACGUGCUAUGCUUCCCUAACGUGCCUGAAAGGCCGACGCCACCAUAUCAGUCUCCCAAGAGACAUUGCAAGGAGGGAUCAUCAUGGACGAGAGUGUACACUGUUAGGGAUUUUGAGAAAUUGCCGCCGUCUUUGAAAACAGAAUAUCGGGACGAGGUGAACGCGCUGGGCUGCAUGGAAUGGCCACCGCACCUAUACGCAGUGCAAGUCUUCUCGUCAAGAACUGGCCAGUGGCAGGAGAGGCACUUCAUUCGACAAGGCAACGCGGCAGUUACAGUGGCAGACGUGUGGUCGGACCAACACGCGCGACAUGGACCGAGUGCCCUUCGACGUAAUGUUGUGUACUGGCGUGGAGCAUUCUAUCUCCAUUGCUAUGUUGACUUCAUCGUGAGGUUGUCACUGCAAGAUGGAAAGUAUGCAGUGAUCAAAACCCCAACAUGCGACCAGAAAUCCAAUGGGUAUUUUGGAAAAUCGAAGCAGAGGAUCUACUACACCGCUGUCAUCGGGUACCAAAUUUCGGUAUGGGUAUUACAAGAGGCAUCAGAGACGUGUCAAACCCUACAGUGGGCGCUAAGGCAUCAAAAUGACCUUGAGCAUGAUUUUCAGCAACACUAUAACCGACACCUUAUAGGAGAUGAGAUUGGCAAGUCUUGGACAUUGGAUCCCUGUAUGGAAGAAUCAAGUGACAAAGGGGACAAUAGAUGGGACUCUAGUGAUGACAGCGUCACUGAUGCAUUAGAAGAAGGGAUCAACGGCAAUGAGGGUUAUAAAAAUUGCUACUAUGGAAUGGAUUUUUUGGGCUAUCACCCUGAAAGGGAAAUUGUUUUCCUGGGCAGCCAUUAUAGCGGGUUUGCUUACUACUUAGCAUUGCCACUAUUUGACAAACCAACUUUUGGCAAAAUCAAAAGUUGCCAAAAGUUAGCAACUUCUUGCGAGAAACAACAACAACAACAACAACAACAAAGUAAAAGAGUGAUUGAAGUUCCAUGUAAAGAAAAACCAUCAACGAGUCGAGAGCAUUCGACGGUGUUCCAAACGGGCGCAUGUGCCCGUUCAAGUGGUCAUUUGACAUCUUCAACCAGGAGCACAAAAAGAACAGAACGAACGACGACAUUUAAAACAGACGUCGAUGCCCGUUUCAGCGAUCGUUUCAUCUGCGUGCAAGCAAAGCGGUCGUUUUAUGCGCCGGCUGCUCCAGUAAACUCAAGGGAGGAGGUAUUUCGCCCCCAUCUCUCUCUUUUCUUCUUCUUCUUCUUCUUCUUCUUCUUCUUCUUCUUCUUCUUCUUCCUCCAAACCUCUUCAAACCCUAACAAAACUUUGAUCGAUCUUUGUACUCGUUCAUUUUCAGUUCAAUCCUUCCGUGAUCGAUCUACAAUGUUUACACGGAGGUCUUCUCGCGUACGUGGUGAUUCAAGUUCAUCCACCGCACAACCGCAACGAGUUUUCACUCAGGGGAUCAUUAACCGACCGUGGAGCAAGGAAGAGGUUCCAGAAGCUCACUACAAGGAAGAUCAAAGCAACCAAAUGGGCUUGUGCGAGUACUCUCGCGAAGCUAGAUAUGUUUAUGAUUUCACUGACCCGCACCCAAGGCAAUCCUUUUAUCGGAUGAGUCACCAUGGCCCUAAGCAAAGAGCCAGUUGCAUUGAAAGUCCUGCUAUACGUUAUUUCUACUAUGUUAUCACUAACUCGUUGCAGGCACGAGGAGAAGUUUCUAAGGUGAAUGAUGAGAACAUGCUAAUUCUCGGGAAAGCAGGAAACUUGGACGUCGGUUAUUCACCCAACCUAGGGGCAAUACUUUUGCUAUGCCUCGCGCAUCAAGCAAAUCAUGUACAAGGAGAUAUCGUGUGUGGAGGAGUGAUCACCAUGUUGGCCAACUCCCUUGGCCUUGACUACAACCAUCUCUGCCCCAUUGUUGGUAACACCCUUGUGAACAUUCGUGUUCUUACUAGCGCUGGCUCGGCCGCCCGCUCCGACGCCGGAGAGUCGGCCGUUGCGGAGCUCCUCCGCUUGCUCCUUGCUCGCGCGCUGCGCCGCCAGGCCACGUGCUCCGGCAUACACUCGUUUUCGGUUCACCUAAAAAAUCGACUCCAAAACUGCAAGUAUGGGGUAUGGUUUGAUCACUUGUGCGGGGUCUACCGGGUGUCCCGGUUUACGUUGGAGAUGGCCUCACCCCACUACUCCCUCUUCUCCCACUCAAAGCUGGCCGAAACGGUUGGGCCUGGCAUGCCGGCGCGCAAGCAUGCUGGCACGAACACGCCAGAUUACCGCGGGCCCCGUUUGGCCAGCUCUGCUCCCACUCUCCAGUGGCGGCCCCACGCGUGCUCUGCCCCCCUCCUCCUGCUUCUCGUCAUUGCCGUCCUCGACCGAGGAGGAGGCCCGGCGCUGGCGGCGCUCAAGGCACGCUGGACCAGACGAGCCGGGUGCUGGGCUCGUGGGACCCGGCCGGGUGAUCAAUGCGGCGGCUCCUUCAUCAGCCUCACCUGCGACCGCGGCGCGCGCGGCACAGCCAUCUCGCUGCAGGGCCGCAAGCUCUCGUCACCCUCCCGCCGGCAGUCGCGGAGCUCCGCCCCUCGCUAA
rnacentral:rRNA from 1 species